rnacentral:rRNA from 1 species
AUUGAACGCUGGCGGCAGGCCUAACACAUGCAAGUCGAGCGAGCGGCGGACGGGUGAGUAAUGUCUGGGAAACUGCCUGAUGGAGGGGGAUAACUACUGGAAACGGUAACUAAUACCGCAUACCAUCAGAUGUGCCCAGAUGGGAUUAGCUGGUAGGUGGGGUAACGGCUGACCUAGGCGACGAUCCCUAGCUGGUCUGAGAGGAUGACCAGCCACACUUGACCUGAUACACGGUCCAGACUCCUACGUGAGGCAGCAGUGGGGAAUAUUGCACAAUGGGCGCAAGCCUGAUGCAGCCAUGCCGCGUGUAUGAAGAAGGCCUUCGGGUUGUAAAGUACUUUCAGCGGGGAGGCGUUACCCGCAGAAGAAGCACCGGCUAACUCCGUGCCAGCAGCCGCGGUAAUAC